GCAGGUUGCUCGUGGUGUAUCUCCACAGGAAUCCAAAUUAUCUAUGCUGGGGAAGGUCUGAGCCUCUGUGACAACCUGGUUACUCUCUCUCUCUCUCUCUGGGAAACUUGGCCACACUGAAGCUCCCUCGGGCACUGAGCCUAACCCAAGAGGAAAUGAGGUCCCAGGCCAUGGAUUUAUGAGAUCCCUGAGAAGAAUACCCAGAAACUUUGAAAAAGAGGCAAAUAUAGUCUACUCAGGAGAACUCCCAAGAGGAAGAACUGACUCUCUCUCGUUGCACUGCUAAGCAAGCUGCACUUUCCAGGGAG
rnacentral:lncRNA from 1 species